AGAGCAGAACUCCAAAGUCCCAGUCUCCAGUGCAGUGUGGGUUAGCGAGGAGACACUACAGGGAAAUCUGCCACGGAGGGCACUGUGUGCCCCAGAUGCAGGGGGUCUGUGCCGGGUACUCUCCAUGGGUCUCAGCACAGACUUCCAGGGCUUGCCGAGGCCCAACUCUACACAGGCAUGAAAGCCACAGACCGUGGGAGGAACUCUGCUUGGAGUUGUCAGUUUGAUCUCUUCUUGGCCUGGCAGUCUGUGGUUCUACAUCUCCUGCGGGUGCCGGGCUGUGCCAGUGAGCCACCGUUCCCAGCCAGCGCCAUGAGCAGUGGACCCCAGUCUGCUGCACUGCUGAGCAGCUCAAGCACUGACGGUCUUGACCCCAUCAUAUGAUGAAGAUGUCUACACAGCGGAGAGAGGAGCUCAGCAGUUCCUGAGCGAAGCUGACCACUGGUUAGUCCAACAAGAGAAAGCCAAAAUGUGUUUGGUCAAGACGAUGGUGCCAGAUUCAGGAAAAUUAACAGCCUUUAGGACCAGCUGAGUGACACAGUCUGCACAAGAAACAUUUUUGCAACUGUGCCUCUGGCUGGUGGAAAUUGCCAGACUCCAGCCCACUCCAGCACAAUUUAACACUCUGGCUUGAGUACGUAGUCAGGAUUGCAGUUGGACCAACGCCAGAGGCUCAGAGAUCUGCAGAAGGCUGUUCAGAUAAUUCCAGAAGGAGAUGCUGGCAAAGCUAUGCACUGCAGGACGGAGGGAGACCAGAUUCUGCUGAGAAUG